GACGAACUGUCCUAACGUUGUUCGGAUUCACUGGGCGUAAAGGGUGCGUAGGUGGUGAGGUAAGUCGGGUGUGAAAUCUCCGAGCUCAACUCGGAAAUGGCACUGGAAACUACCUUGCUCGAGGGUUGGAGGGGGGACUGGAAUGCUUGGUGUAGCAGUGAAAUGCGUAGAUAUCAAGCGGAACACCAGUGGCGAAGGCGAGUCCCUGGACAACUCCUGACACUGAGGCACGAAAGCUAGGGGAGCAAACAGG
rnacentral:rRNA from 1 species